AAUGCUCUUAUAGCUCAACUGCUGAAGUACAUUUAAAGUCCAUGCAAACCGUGUUAUAAAUAAUCCCUCCCUAAAGUCUAAGUAGCCUACAUCGAAUAGAUUAUACCCAUGGGCCUAGUCCAAUAGUCUGUACUCUCAAAAUAAAUAUCAAAAACAUUUUAUAACUUUUUCCAAAAACAAGUAUUAAAAUUUAUCGACUCGUUACAAUUUUCGAUUUUUCAGGGUUCGUUUUACCAGUGAAGUUACGAAGAUGACGUCUACGGGUUUUCUAUCCAGUUUCUCGUCAUCUUCCUCCUUGCAGCUCUGUUCUGCUUUCAACGGCGAGUAUGUAUCUUCGUCGAGGAGCUUCAUCGGAGCAGCUUCCUCUUCUCUAUCGCUGCUCUCGGGUUUGUAUCAUUAACUUCUCACAGUUCAUCGUUGAAAGAAUGUGAGGAUAAAAAGAUGUAGAUGAAGAACAUUAAAGAACAGAGAGAGAGAGAGAGAGAGAAAGUAGAUCUGAGAGAAACUAUAUUCCCUUAAAAUUCAAAUUGUGGAUCUAGAUACAAGUCUUUUAAAGGCAAGUUGCCUCAGUACACAAUACAAUAAAAUAUUUAUUGUUUAAAAUAUUCAACGGUCUCCUUCUUUCUUCUUCUUCUUCUUCUUCUUUGCUUCUCAAGUCUGGUCUUCUGC
rnacentral:lncRNA from 1 species